rnacentral:rRNA from 1 species
CCUGAUCCAGCACGCCGCGUGAGGGAUGACGGCCUUCGGGUUGUAAACCUCUUUCAGCAGGGACGAAGCGAAAGUGACGGUACCUGCAGAAGAAGGACCGGCCAACUACGUGCCAGCAGCCGCGGUAAUACGUAGGGUCCGAGCGUUGUCCGGAAUUAUUGGGCGUAAAGGGCUCGUAGGCGGUUUGUCACGUCGGGAGUGAAAACUCAGGGCUCAACCCUGAGCGUGCUUCCGAUACGGGCUAACUAGAGGUAUGCAGGGGAGAAUGGAAUUCCUGGUGUAGCGGUGGAAUGCGCAGAUAUCAGGAGGAACACCGGUGGCGAAGGCGGUUCUCUGGGCAUUACCUGACGCUGAGGAGCGAAAGCAUGGGGAGCGAACAGGAUUAGAUACCCUGGUAGUCCAUGCCGUAAACGUUGGGCGCUAGGUGUGGGGACCUUCCACGGUCUCCGUGCCGCAGCUAACGCAUUAAGCGCCCCGCCUGGGGAGUACGGCCGCAAGGCUAAAACUCAAAGGAAUUGACGGGGGCCCGCACAAGCGGCGGAGCAUGCUGAUUAAUUCGAUGCAACGCGAAGAACCUUACCUGGGUUUGACAUAUACCGGAAAAGCUGCAGAGAUGCAGCCCCCCUUGUGGUC